rnacentral:rRNA from 1 species
UACAGAGGUGGCAAGCGUUGUUCGGAAUUACUGGGCGUAAAGGGCGCGUAGGCGGUUCGAUAAGUCCCGUGUGAAAUCCCUCGGCUCAACUGAGGAACUGCACGGGAAACUGACGGGCUUGAGUUCGGGAGAGGGAAGCGGAAUUCCGGGUGUAGCGGUGAAAUGCGUAGAUACCCGGAGGAACACCGGUGGCGAAGGCGGCUUCCUGGACCGACACUGACGCUGAUGCGCGAAAGCUAGGGGAGCAAACGGG